rnacentral:snRNA from 1 species
CUGUUCCCAUUGACAGCACAUAUAUGAAAAUCAGAACAAUACACAGAAGAUUAGCACGGCCCUUAAGCAAGGAUGACACUCAAAUUUGUGAAGCAGUCCAUACCUUU